rnacentral:lncRNA from 1 species
CGUCCCCAUCACGACGUCCCCAUCCCACCAUGAUGUCCCCAUCCCACCACGAUGUCACCACCAUGACGUCCUCAUCCCAUCACGAUGUCACCACCACGAUGUCCCCAUCCAUCCCAUCCUGAUGUCCCCAUCUCAUCACGAUGUCACCACCAUGUUGUCCCCACCACGAUGUCACCACCACGAUGUCCCCACCACGAUGUCCCCAUCCCAUCACGAUGUCCCCAUUAAUCCCAUCCUGAUGUCCCCAUCCUGUCAUGAUGUCACCACCACGAUGUCCCCACCACGAUGUCCCCAUCCCAUCACGAUGUCCCCAUCCCAUCACGAUGUCACCAUCAUGACGUCCCCAUCCCAUCCUGAUGUCCCUACCACGACGUCCCCAUCCGUCCCACCAUGAUGUCCCCAUCUCAUCACGAUGUCACCACCACGAUGUCACCACCACGAUGUCCCCAUCCCAUCCUGUCCCCAUCCUGUCACGAUGUCACCAUCACGACGUCCCCACCCACCCCAUAGCGACGCCCCCACCCCAUUUCAGGUCCCCACCCCACCACCAUGCCGUCUGUCCCGUCGUGACAACAUCCGUCUGUCCCACCAUGAUGGUGUCCCUGCACCCCACAGCGACGCCCUCACCCCAUAGCGUCGUCCACCCACCCCAUAGCGACGCCCCCACCCCAUUCGAGGUCCCCACCCCAACACGAGCACGUCCGUCCCGUCGUCA